ACGGUCAAAGAUGUCACCCUGCCAGUUGUUUCUGAAAACGAGUCCAGACAGAAAACUGUGGUCAUGCUGGACGAGAACAAUAGAACUAAUCCUGCGGAAGUCAGCAAAGGCAGCAUUGUGGAACAUCCUGGAUGUGAAUCAGAAGACACAUCUGCUGAGUCCACGCCUGGGGAACCUGUGUUUGUACUCUCUCUCAUAGAAAUCCCGCCUACUUUAGAUGAGGGGGCGGGGUUUCGGACAGAGCUCCUCCCACCUGAGGCAGUGUCUGAGUCACAUUCUCAUGGUCAAAGGUACCUUAUUUUAAAACUGUUAUCUGAUGCCAUAAACACUUGGAGAGAGCUAAAUAAACAUUAGGAGGAUGUUGAGAAUCCUGGUUGAGAAUUUGUUAGCCAAAUGAAUGUGGAUUUAAGUCUUAUUUGCAAAUGUUUCCAUGUUCUACCUAUUGUGCUUUUAUUAUUUUUUCCCUAUUUCUUUCUUAUUUUCUAGUGCUAGUGAGAGUAGGGAGGUAUCUCAAUCUAGGAAAGGAGAAUUGAAACGCAAGACACCAGCCUCCACCUCUCAGGGGGUAAAGCAUGCAUCUUGACUUUUUUAAAACUAUAAAUGCUUGAUAAAUGCUGAUUAAAACUGAGGCAAUUUCCUUCCUAGAAUACCAAAGGUGAGAGUCAGGCAGAACAUCAUGGUAAGAACAUUUCCAGCCCAUCUUUAUACUCUAAAAAUGAGCAUAUAUGGUACUAGAUUUAACAUCUGUUAAUGCAUUGCAUUGCCCUAUAACCCAGUUUCUUUAUGUGUUAGUGGAAGGAUUGGAAAGCUUUGUGGCAGAGGGGACUGAUGAUGAGAAGGAACAUCUGGAAAAGAAAAGAAAAAUUCCUGAGAGAACCAGGAGAGCAAAGCUGCAAGUUAAACCCAUCCCAGUUUCGCGGAGAAACGCUCGAGGUGGUGAUGCUAAAGAGGACACAGCAGCUCUCUCUUUUAAACAGACUACCUCAUUACCUGUUUCAACACAAGAGACGAGAUCAGUGCCAGAGCAAACUGUACCUGCUGUCAUUUCAUCAACGGAUGACUCAAUAUCAACCACCAUCUCUGACAGAGAAGCAACUACAGACCUUUCUGAGACUAGUGAUAAUACUCGAUCACCUGUCUCUGAAGAUUCUGUCCAGGAGGGUUCUUCCCAAGGCAUCAUGGGAAAAGUGGACCUCUCAGGCAAAGAGACCGUUGAGUUGGCUAGUAGAUCAGACUCACAAAGUGUCAGUCAAAUCACGCCUAUUACCACAAGUGGGCCGCUUAACAAGGUGGGUGGCUCUACAUUUUGUUAG
rnacentral:lncRNA from 1 species